GUGGGGAAUAUUGGGCAAUGGGGGAAACCCUGACCCAGCGACGCCGCGUGAGGGAAGACGGCCUUCGGGUUGUAAACCUCUUUUGUACGGGAAGAAGGAAGUGACGGUACUGUACGAAUAAGUCCCGGCUAACUACGUGCCAGCAGCCGCGGUAAUACGUAGGGGACGAGCGUUGUCCGGAAUUACUGGGCGUAAAGGGCGCGCAGGCUGUGCUGCAAGUCAGCUGUGAAAUGUCUGGGCUUAACCCGGGCAUGCGGUUGAGACUGCAGUGCUGGAGUGCUGUAGAGGCAAGUGGAAUUCCCAGGGUAGCGGUGAAAUGCGUAGAUAUUGGGAAGAACACCGGUGGCGAAGGCGACUUGCUGGGCAGCAACUGACGCUGAGGCGCGAAAGCCAGGGGAGCAAACGGGAUUAGAAACCCGUGUAGUCC
rnacentral:rRNA from 1 species